GGGUUGUGAGGUUAAGCGACUAAGCGUACACGGUGGAUGCCCUGGCAGUCAGAGGCGAUGAAGGACGUGCUAAUCUGCGAAAAGCGUCGGUAAGGUGAUAUGAACCGUUACAGCCGGCGAUGUCCGAAUGGGGAAACCCAGUGUGAUUCGUCACACUAUCGUUAACUGAAUACAUAGGUUAACGAGGCGAACCGGGGGAACUGAAACAUCUAAGUACCCCGAGGAAAAGAAAUCAACCGAGAUUCCCCCAGUAGCGGCGAGCGAACGGGGAGCAGCCCAGAGUCUGAAUCAGCUUGUGUGUUAGUGGAACGGUCUGGAAAGUCCGACGGUACAGGGUGAUAGUCCCGUACACCAAAAUGCACAGGUUGUGAACUCGAAGAGUAGGGCGGGACACGUGGUAUCCUGUCUGAAUAUGGGGGGACCAUCCUCCAAGGCUAAAUACUCCUGACUGACCGAUAGUGAACCAGUACCGUGAGGGAAAGGCGAAAAGAACCCCGGCGAGGGGAGUGAAAAAGAACCUGAAACCGUGUACGUACAAGCAGUGGGAGCACCUUCGGGUGUGACUGCGUACCUUUUGUAUAAUGGGUCAGCGACUUAUAUUCUGUAGCAAGGUUAACCGUAUAGGGGAGCCGCAGGGAAACCGAGUCUUAACUGGGCGUUAAGUUGCAGGGUAUAGACCCGAAACCCGGUGAUCUAGCCAUGGGCAGGUUGAAGGUUGGGUAACACUAACUGGAGGACCGAACCGACUAAUGUUGAAAAAUUAGCGGAUGACUUGUGGCUGGGGGUGAAAGGCCAAUCAAACCGGGAGAUAGCUGGUUCUCCCCGAAAGCUAUUUAGGUAGCGCCUCGUGAAUUCAUCUUCGGGGGUAGAGCACUGUUUCGGCUAGGGGGUCAUCCCGACUUACCAACCCGAUGCAAACUACGAAUACCGAAGAAUGUUAUCACGGGAGACACACGGCGGGUGCUAACGUCCGUCGUGAAGAGGGAAACAACCCAGACCGCCAGCUAAGGUCCCAAAGUCACAGUUAAGUGGGAAACGAUGUGGGAAGGCACAGACAGCCAGGAUGUUGGCUUAGAAGCAGCCAUCAUUUAAAGAAAGCGUAAUAGCUCACUGGUCGAGUCGGCCUGCGCGGAAGAUGUAACGGGGCUAAACUGUGCACCGAAGCUGCGGCAGCGACACUAUGUGUUGUUGGGUAGGGGAGCGUUCUGUAAGCCUGCGAAGGUGGCCUGUGAGGGUUGCUGGAGGUAUCAGAAGUGCGAAUGCUGACAUAAGUAACGAUAAUGCGGGUGAAAAGCCCGCACGCCGGAAGACCAAGGGUUCCUGUCCAACGUUAAUCGGGGCAGGGUGAGUCGACCCCUAAGGCGAGGCCGAAAGGCGUAGUCGAUGGGAAACAGGUUAAUAUUCCUGUACUUGGUGUUACUGCGAAGGGGGGACGGAGAAGGCUAUGUUAGCCGGGCGACGGUUGUCCCGGUUUAAGCAUGUAGGCGGAGGUUCCAGGUAAAUCCGGUACCUUUUAACGCUGAGGUGUGAUGACGAGGCACUACGGUGCUGAAGUAACAAAUGCCCUGCUUCCAGGAAAAGCCUCUAAGCAUCAGGUAACAUUGAAUCGUACCCCAAACCGACACAGGUGGUCAGGUAGAGAAUACCAAGGCGCUUGAGAGAACUCGGGUGAAGGAACUAGGCAAAAUGGUGCCGUAACUUCGGGAGAAGGCACGCUGAUAUGUAGGUGAAGCCCCUGCGGGUGGAGCUGAAAUCAGUCGAAGAUACCAGCUGGCUGCAACUGUUUAUUAAAAACACAGCACUGUGCAAACACGAAAGUGGACGUAUACGGUGUGACGCCUGCCCGGUGCCGGAAGGUUAAUUGAUGGGGUUAUCCGUAAGGAGAAGCUCUUGAUCGAAGCCCCGGUAAACGGCGGCCGUAACUAUAACGGUCCUAAGGUAGCGAAAUUCCUUGUCGGGUAAGUUCCGACCUGCACGAAUGGCGUAAUGAUGGCCAGGCUGUCUCCACCCGAGACUCAGUGAAAUUGAACUCGCUGUGAAGAUGCAGUGUACCCGCGGCAAGACGGAAAGACCCCGUGAACCUUUACUAUAGCUUGACACUGAACAUUGAGCCUUGAUGUGUAGGAUAGGUGGGAGGCUUUGAAGCGUGGACGCCAGUCUGCGUGGAGCCAACCUUGAAAUACCACCCUUUAAUGUUUGAUGUUCUAACGUUGGCCCCUGACCGGGGUUGCGGACAGUGUCUGGUGGGUAGUUUGACUGGGGCGGUCUCCUCCCAAAGAGUAACGGAGGAGCACGAAGGUUAGCUAAUCCUGGUCGGACAUCAGGAGGUUAGUGCAAUGGCAUAAGCUAGCUUGACUGCGAGCGUGACGGCGCGAGCAGGUGCGAAAGCAGGUCAUAGUGAUCCGGUGGUUCUGAAUGGAAGGGCCAUCGCUCAACGGAUAAAAGGUACUCCGGGGAUAACAGGCUGAUACCGCCCAAGAGUUCAUAUCGACGGCGGUGUUUGGCACCUCGAUGUCGGCUCAUCACAUCCUGGGGCUGAAGUAGGUCCCAAGGGUAUGGCUGUUCGCCAUUUAAAGUGGUACGCGAGCUGGGUUUAGAACGUCGUGAGACAGUUCGGUCCCUAUCUGCCGUGGGCGCUGGAGAAUUGAGGGGGGCUGCUCCUAGUACGAGAGGACCGGAGUGGACGCAUCACUGGUGUUCGGGUUGUCAUGCCAAUGGCAUUGCCCGGUAGCUAAAUGCGGAAGAGAUAAGUGCUGAAAGCAUCUAAGCACGAAACUUGCCCCGAGAUGAGUUCUCCCUGAGACUUUAAGUCUCCUGAAGGAACGUUAAAGACGAUGACGUUGAUAGGUCGGGUGUGUAAGCGUAGCGAUACGUUGAGCUAACCGAUACUAAUGAACCGUGAGGCUUAACCUUACAACGCCGAAGGUGUUU
rnacentral:rRNA from 1 species